rnacentral:rRNA from 1 species
UGAGGAAUAUUGGGCAAUGGGCGCAAGCCUGACCCAGCAAUACCGCGUGUGUGAAGAAGGCCUGAGGGUUGUAAAGCACUUUCAAUGGGGAGGAAAAAGGCAAGUUUAAUACGCUUGCCCUUGACAUUACCCAUACAAGAAGCACCGGCUAACUCCGUGCCAGCAGCCGCGGUAAUACGGAGGGUGCGAGCGUUAAUCGGAAUUACUGGGCGUAAAGCGUGCGUAGGCGGCCUGCCAAGUCAGAUGUGAAAGCCCUGGGCUCAACCUGGGAACGGCAUUUGAAACUGGCAGGCUCGAGUUGGGUAGAGGCAGGCGGAAUUCCGGGUGUAGCGGUGAAAUGCGUAGAUAUCCGGAGGAACACCAGUGGCGAAGGCGGCCUGCUGGGCCCAAACUGACGCUGAGGCACGAAAGCGUGGGUAGCAAACAGGGAUUAGAUACCCAGGUAGUCCCUGAGCGGGCUGGCAAGGCGCAU